GCAAGUCACCUAGCUUCGGCUAGGGGCGGACGGGAGCGGAAUAUGUAGGGACGUGCCCUGGACUCAGGAAUAACUCCGAGAAAUCGGAGCUAAUACCGGAUGCCCUCGCAAGAGGAAAGCUUCGGCGGUCCAGGAGCGACCUGCACCCUAUCAGCUAGUUGGUGAGGUAAUGGCUUACCAAGGCAUUGACGGGUAACUGGUCUGAGAGGAUGACC
rnacentral:rRNA from 1 species